rnacentral:rRNA from 1 species
CCUACGGGAGGCAGCAGUGGGGAAUCUUAGACAAUGGGGGAAACCCUGAUCUAGCCAUGCCGCGUGAUCGAUGAAGGCCUUAGGGUUGUAAAGAUCUUUCAGAUGGGAAGAUAAUGACGGUACCAUCAGAAGAAGCCCCGGCUAACUCCGUGCCAGCAGCCGCGGUAAUACGGAGGGGGCUAGCGUUAUUCGGAAUUACUGGGCGUAAAGCGCACGUAGGCGGAUCAGAAAGUCAGAGGUGAAAUCCCAGGGCUCAACCUUGGAACUGCCUUUGAAACUCCUGGUCUUGAGGUCGAGAGAGGUGAGUGGAAUUCCGAGUGUAGAGGUGAAAUUCGUAGAUAUUCGGAGGAACACCAGUGGCGAAGGCGGCUCACUGGCUCGAUACUGACGCUGAGGUGCGAAAGCGUGGGGAGCAAACAGGUAUUAGAUACCCUGGUAGUCCACGCCGUAAACGAUAGAUAGCACGUCGUCGGU